rnacentral:lncRNA from 1 species
GCUUGGACACUCCAGAGCUGACAUUUGAACCCAAAGAAGAGCAAGUCAAAACCAGAACUGGGCAGAGAGCAGGGAAGUGAGCUGUGGCCUGAGAGAGCCAGGAGCAAGCCCUUACAAGAGAAGUGACGAGUGUGUGCUGAGUGCUCCCUGGCUGAUGCUCUGUCAGGAACAUUCUUACCACCUCUUAUGGCAGAUACUGGCCCCCUUUUACAGGGGAGGUGUGCAGGGCACGUGCCUAAGAAGACCACAACAUCCCAGGACCGUGGCAAAGUCAAGGAAGCUGUCUUCACUGCAACAGUCUUUGGGGGAUAUUGUAUGUGUUCAAAAGGAAUAUUCUGAGAAGCCGCCUGGGGGCAGGGGAUGGGAACCUUAAGGAGAGCAAUCAGGUCAGAAGUUAUGGCUCCCUGCCCAACAUCCAUCCACCCUAAAUGAUUAGUCAAAUUCGGUUGUGCUACUCCCAUUUGAUUUGCAGGCACCGGCUAAACUUGACCUGCUAAAGAAUGGCUGUGUGUUGGGGCGGUAGGUGAAAUGAGUCAAGAGGGCCAAAUGUAUGGUGCUGGAUGACAAGAUUUGUGGUGGUGAUCCCUUUUCAUGUGUAUAGAUGUUAAAGAAUGGCUGUGUGACCCCAUUUUGGCCAAUGACAUGUGAGUGCAAGGGUGUUCUUGCUUCUAAAAAGACACAAAGAGCUCUGGGAGUAAGCUAUGUCUGAAACCUGGAGCCGUGGCAGCCAUCUUGUGAUCAUGAAGUAGGUCACGUUAAGGAAAAGAUGCCCUGCUGAGUUUAGCGCACAUUGAAAAUAUCCCUGAAGCACUGAAUCAUGGACCCAAGAACCUGCCCUUUUUCUAGAAGUCUUGUUGUUUGAGGUAAUAAAUGUUUAAAACUUUGGGAGAGGGGCUUUUUC